rnacentral:lncRNA from 1 species
CCUCCUCCCUGUUCUCUUUCAGGUCGGGCCGGGCCGGGCGGGUUCCUCUGGCGCCCAAGAGAGAGGAGGGGAGGAGGAGGAGGAGGAGGAUUAAGCGGGGAGCGUGAGCGUCCGCUGCCCAGCAAAACUUCUAAAGAUUUGGAGAAGAUAGAAAACAACCCAAAAGGCUAAAGCACUAUUGUACUCAUGUUCCUGAUAUAAGUCACUGGAUGUGAGCUGAGAGUUCUGAGAAGAGAGAGGAAAUGUAACCUCCUUGACUGUAUACAUAUAAUUUUACAGGUAUGUCUUUAUUGAAUGCACUCAUAAUUUAUGGAAUUUCAUAAUAUCAAAAUUCUGAAGACACUC